rnacentral:lncRNA from 10 species
CCCAGAGUUUCUCAGUUUGGCUGAUAAAUUAUGCGAUCAGACUUCCCAUUCCAGUCAAGAUGGAGCAGCCCAAUUUCCUACUAGUCUUUCCUCUUACAACUUAAAAACCCUGGACGUAAUGCAACAAACAUAGGAAAAUUGAAAGAUGGAAAGAAGGAGAGGCUUCUAGGGACAUCAGGACUCGAGGAACAACACAGAGUCUCACUCUGUUCGCAAGCUGGAGUGCAGUGGUGUGAUCUCGGCUCACUACAACCUCCGACUCCCUGGUUCAAGCAAUUCUCCUGCCUCAGCCUCCGGAGUAGCUGGGAUUACAAGCACCCACCACCAUGCCCAACUAAUUUUUGUCUUUUUAGUAGAGACGGGGUUUCACCAUGUUGGCCAGGCUGGUCUCAAUCUCCUGACCUUGUGAUCCACCUGCUUCAGCCUCCCAAAGUGCUGGGACCACAGGCGUGGCCACUGUGCCCAGCCAAACCUCAUCUUUAUUACAGGAAUCAAAUCAUCAUAGUAAGAAUGGGAUUGAAGCAAGAUAGGUAGUCAAAGAAGUGACCGUGUCCUCAAGACACAGCAACCUUGGUGACCAUACUAUCAACAAAAAUGAGUCUCAGCAUUCACAUUGUAAUUGAGCUCAUUCCAGCAAAGCUAUCGUCAGUUGAGAAUUUCCCCCAUAGAGGGCAUGUGCCCUUUGAUUUUACCUGUCUUCAAACUGACGCUUUGCUCAUUUUCAUAGUAAAAAACAUAGCCCGGGUAGAGAUAUAAGAUGCUAAUGAGACCUGAGAUGUACGAACAAGCAUGUACAGCUGCUGUGUGUGUGCGCCCAGAGGACCACCUAGAACAUGCUUACCAGUAACACCUUUUCCCACCUCCUUAUGAAUAAUUAUGUAGGGAUCCCAUAAAGGGAGCCUCCCUAGUGUCAGUCUCUGCUGUCUCAUCCUGAAUCCAAUCUCUCUCAGGGUAUACUGCCAUUCUGCCCCUAACUUUCUACAUAUUCUUUUUCUUUUGCAAUAAAUUAC